UGGCUAUGUAGUUUCCAAUGAAUAAUACAAAUUCCGCUUAAAAACAGGUGCUCCUGUGGCAAUUGUGAACAAGUGCCUACAGAGCCCGAGAAUAUCUUCUGUAUGGAAAUACCACAGGUUACACGAAGACUAAGUUACAGCAGCUUCCUGAGCAACCAUCAUGCAUGCUGGACCAUCCUGGCCUAGAACCUAUCUGCCUGAAUGUGUUUUCACUGCAGAAUGCACUGAACAUUUAUCGGGCAGACUACGGACCUUUACGUCUGAGGGGAAUAGUGCACCAAUAUAGAUACCUAGCCUACAGAAGCUUUGUAAGCUGGUGCUGGGGCUUUCUGGGGUGGAGAGUGAGAGCUGUGCUGCCUGCCUGCGUGGUGCUGAGGAUUCGUGCAGAGUUCCCUGACACAGAAGGACAGUAUGUUGGGUUCAGACCUGUCCUUGAUUGAACCUUGGCACGUAACUGGCUAUAACGUCCAGCUUGUUGGGUCUUUCAUACUGACCUGAGAGGUCUUCAGGGAUUGUAAGUUUCAGCACCUCGUUCACAUAUGGGACAGGGUCCUGGAAAAUCUUCUCGAAGAUCAG